UGACGUAGUCUCGAGCUGUUGCGGCUGAGUGAAAUGUGGGCAGGCAAAACUGCGUGUGCGGCGUGUUGUUGGGCUUAAGAUUAAAUAUACAUUGCAUGUAUGUAUAUUUGGGGGUGAAAGUGAGUGAUUGGAUUCAAUGACAUCACUGGUCGUCGGCCUGCGUGCCCAACUUGAGGUCAGGGCGUGUCGUACAUAUACCGUAAAUUCGUUCAUUCUGAGGUUGAUGUUGAUCCCGAGUUGCUGUCGGUUGAGGGGCGACCACGAAUACUGACUGGCUAAAGGGCCAUUGAAUCCAGGUCUAUGAUUUUGAAGGCUGUUUGUUUAAUGGGCCAUUCGGAUGAGCUGACAUUGCUGAGAAACCUUCAUCGAAUCGAUGAGGGGCUGGGGACUUGAAAGUUUCGUUACCUUUAUAAAGUAAUGGAUGCUUGUUAUUAACAGGGAGCGUAGAUGUAUUGGAAAGAUUAGAGAAGCAACCAAACACCCCAGAUUCCAAUGGUAGUAACGACGUGGGAGGUAGCUGCAGUAUAUAGAUAAAAAUAUAUAGGACAUGAUCAUGGAACCAAUUAUAAGAAACUAGA
rnacentral:sRNA from 2 species